rnacentral:rRNA from 1 species
UACAGAGGGUGCAAGCGUUAAUCGGAAUUACUGGGCGUAAAGCGCGCGUAGGUGGUUCGUUAAGUUGGAUGUGAAAUCCCCGGGCUCAACCUGGGAACUGCAUCCAAAACUGGCGAGCUAGAGUAGGGCAGAGGGUGGUGGAAUUUCCUGUGUAGCGGUGAAAUGCGUAGAUAUAGGAAGGAACACCAGUGGCGAAGGCGACCACCUGGGCUCAUACUGACACUGAGGUGCGAAAGCGUGGGGAGCAAAUAGG